UCCAAGUGAAGUAGAGGACAGUGGCGGACGGGUGAGUAACGCGUGAGGAACCUGCCUUUCAGAGGGGGACAACAGUUGGAAACGACUGCUAAUACCGCAUGACACAUAGAGAUCGCAUGGUUUUUAUGUCAAAGAUUUAUCGCUGAAAGAUGGCCUCGCGUCUGAUUAGCUAGUUGGUGAGGUAACGGCCCACCAAGGCGACGAUCAGUAGCCGGACUGAGAGGUUGACCGGCCACAUUGGGACUGAGAUACGGCCCAGACUCC
rnacentral:rRNA from 1 species